rnacentral:rRNA from 1 species
AAUGAACGUUGGCGGCGUGGAUUAGGCAUGCAAGUCGCGCGAGAAGUUUCCUUCGGGAGACGGACAGCGGCGGAAGGGAGAGGAAUACGUAGAAAUCUGCCCUCGAGCCUGGGAUAGCGGCGGGAAACUGCCGGUAAUACCAGAUAACGUCUUUGGACCAAAGGUGUGAUUCCGCUUGAGGAUGAGUCUACGUCCUAUUAGCUAGUUGGCGGGGUAAUGGCCCACCAAGGCAACGAUGGGUAGCGGGUGUGAGAGCACGAUCCGCCUCACUGGGACUGAGACACUGCCCAGACACCUACGGGUGGCUG